rnacentral:rRNA from 1 species
GAUGAACGCUGGCGGCGUGCCUAAUACAUGCAAGUCGAGCGAACAGAUGAGGAGCUUGCUCCUCUGACGUUAGCGGCGGACGGGUGAGUAACACGUGGAUAACCUACCUAUAAGACUGGGAUAACUUCGGGAAACCGGAGCUAAUACCGGAUAAUAUAUUGAACCGCAUGGUUCAAUAGUGAAAGACGGUUUUGCUGUCACUUAUAGAUGGACCCGCGCCGCAUUAGCUAGUUGGUAAGGUAACGGCUUACCAAGGCAACGAUGCGUAGCCGACCUGAGAGGGUGAUAGGCCACACUGGAACUGAGACACGGUCCAGACUCCUACGGGAGGCAGCAGUAGGGAAUCUUACGCAAUGGGCGAAAGCCUGACGGAGCAACGCCGCGUGAGUGAUGAAGGUCUUCGGAUCGUAAAACUCUGUUAUUAGGGAAGAACAAAUGUGUAAGUAACUAUGCACGUCUUGACGGUACCUAAUCAGAAAGCCACGGCUAACUACGUG